GCCAACGGCCAUACCAUGUUGAAUACACCGGUUCUCGUCCGAUCACCGAAGUUAAGCAACAUCGGGUCCGGUUAGUACUUGGAUGGGUGACCGCCUGGGAACACCGGGUGCUGUUGGCU
rnacentral:rRNA from 1 species